AUGUCUGAUCGGGUGCCCGGGUCUUCUGCGUGCUCCCUGAGGUAUAGGAGUAAGAGCAGUUACAUAGCUGUGUCUGUGCAGCCACAUCCUCUAAAAAACAGAUUUGGACUCCAUGUCUGUGCAGUCAUCUCUUGGGUCCCUAAAGAACAGAGAAGUUGUGGCUCUACGAGCAGGAAGCGUUUCGUCCUGGUCAUCUGGAUGCUCCCAGCCUUGACUCACCCUCAUCUAGGCUUCCCCGUGGCUGCCCAGCACACUGGCUGCCCAAGAUUCAGAUCAAAGCUACUCUCAACCCCUGCUGUGAGGACUUGGAAGCACUCUGGCAGGAGGAGGCACUGGGCCUGCCCCAUCUCUCCCAUCCCCUGCUGGAGCUCUCUUCACCACAGCUCACUCGGGCAUCUGCUUUUGACCUCGGUGCCUUCCCUGCGCGGCGGUGCCUGGUGUCUGGAGGAACGCCAGCUCUUCCUGUCUGCCAAGCUGCCUCUCUUCCAUCACACAAAUGACCUGGGAAACCCCACCUCCCCUCCAGCAGGAGCUCAGUCUCCCUGGACUGAUCACAGGAAAGGUGCUGAUCUGAGGGCACACCGCCCUACACAGGCACCAUGCUUGGCUCGUUCUCAAAGGCCCUUCUGAUACAGGCUUUCUGCUCAAGACUUUCCUUCUGUUUGUGUGCGUCCAAGUGUCCAUCUCUGUCAACAGUUUAAAAAAAUCUUAAAUAGUAAGGCUACUUUUGUUCUCUGUCCUGCACAUUGCCUG
rnacentral:lncRNA from 1 species